rnacentral:rRNA from 1 species
UACGGGGGGGGCAAGCGUUGUUCGGAAUUACUGGGCGUAAAGGGCUCGUAGGUGGCCAACUAAGUCGGACGUGAAAUCCCUCGGCUUAACCGGGGAACUGCGUCUGAUACUGGAUGGCUUGAGUUCGGGAGAGGGAUGCGGAAUUCCAGGUGUAGCGGUGAAAUGCGUAGAUAUCUGGAGGAACACCGGUGGCGAAGGCGGCAUCCUGGACCGACACUGACGCUGAGGAGCGAAAGCCAGGGGAGCAAACGGGG